CUGUGAACUAGUUGCCAGUGAUCUUGAAAUGUGACAGUAACUAAGAGAUAAAUAGGUGACAAUGACAGGAAAAUUAGAUGUAGUAAAAGAGAGUGUUUGAGAGCAGAAGCUAUGGCAACUAAAGACUGGAUUUGAAUCCUUCCUAGCUUGGUGACAUGAGCAAAUUACUUUAUUUAAGUGAGCAUUUUCCCAUUUGUACAGUGGAGAUGACGAUAAUUGUGCCUGCUAAGAAGAAUUGCUGUGAGGAUUAGUGAAAUAAUGCAUGUAAAACAUUUGGUACGGUAUGUGACACAUAGUACAAAUAGUUUGCUAGGAAGAUUGUUAUUAUUCUUCACUUGUGAUAUUGUGAAGUUUUCGUACAGCAAAUUGGACAUCAUGAGAUGGAUUGAUUAAAUAAAUAGAUUUGAAUUUCAAGGACUGGUAGUGGUCUUGCUUUGGAAAGAAGAAACUUGGUUUAUCCUAAUAAUAGUAGGAUAAUAAUGGUGAAGUGAUAGGUACAAGGAAUAGUGUUAAUGAUGUGCUGGUGAUGAUAGGAAAAGAAAGCCAUUAUAUGGGCAAGAGCUAGAAGUAAUAAAAUGGUGCAUUUUUCAGUGAUGUUUGGCCUAUGUAGCUAUUCUCUGAUCACUAUAAAAAUCCUUAUUAUUGAAGUUUCUUCAGGAAGAAAAACUCUUAGUCUGAAACUUUAGCACUAAUCCCCCUUGCCCCCCAUUGAAAUACGUAUUUUUAAAACAUGGAUUUUGAUAAUGUGAGGGUUUUUUCCUUUUUGCGAUUUAGUAGUGCUGAUUGUGUAUUGCAGUAGUUGUGAGAGCAUUAGAAGCAGCAGUCGAUAGGAUGAUGGAAGGUCUGGAUGCUGCCCUGGGGAGUUAGGAGAUUGGCAGACUUACCCUGUACCACUCUAGCUCUACUCCUUUGCCCAAGACAGAAACACACUGAGAGAUGGAUAGGAGAAUAUGAGCAGUUGAUAGGAAAGUUCUCAGUGGAGUCAGAAUUUAGGUCAGGCCAGGAGAUUGAGAAUAUAACAGUUUGUGUAUGAUGAAAUGGCAUAUUUCACAGAAUGCAGUAAAAGCAGGUAGGGUACAAAUGCAGCAAUGGGAAGAUGUCUUUUCUUCAUUCAGCAAACAUUUAUUUGAGAGCUUACCAUGUGCUAGGCACAUACGAAGAUAAAUAAUGCCCUUAAUGAUCCUCCAUUUAAAGGAGACAUGUAAACAGGUUAACUUAAGAGUAGAGAUGGUGAAUAUGUGAACCUAAGGAAAAGAAGAAAUAGAUUACAUUAUCUGGAGAGAGGGGAAAAGUCAGCAGAAUGGGGACGAGAAUCUUUCGGAGCUCAGUGUUCUGAUAGGAGUUAUUUCCUUGGGGCAUAGGUUCCAAGUAUUUUUCUAAUAUACCAUAGAAGCCAGGAAAACUUUCUUCUGUUAUUUCAAAUGAUUUAAUUACUGACUUGAAUUUGUGUUGUCUCCUUAGACUUGUGCAUCAUGGACAAUUUUGCUGAGGGAGAUUUCACUGUGGCGGAUUAUGCCUUGUUAGAAGAUUGCCCUUACGUGGAUGAUUGUGUCUUUGCUGCUGAAUUUAUGACCAAUGAUUAUGUUCGUGUGACUCAGCUUUACUGUGAUGGGGUGGGUAUGCAAUAUAAAGAUUAUAUCCAAAGUGAGAGGAAUUUAGAAUUUGACAUCUGCAGUAUAUGGUGUAGUAAACCAGUUUCUGUCCUGCAAGAUUAUUGUGAUGCCAUUAAAAUAAACAUCUUCUGGCCACUUCUGUUUCAACAUCAAAACAGUUCUGUAAUAUCACGAUUGCAUCCCUGUGUGGACGCCAACAAUUCACGUGCUUCUGAGAUAAAUUUGAAGAAAUUACAACAUCUUGAGUUGAUGGAAGAUAUUGUGGAUUUGGCAAAGAAAGUUGCUAAUGAUUCAUUCCUUAUUGGAGGCUUAUUGAGAAUUGGUUGUAAAAUAGAAAAUAAAAUCUUGGCAAUGGAAGAAGCUCUGAAUUGGAUAAAAUAUGCAGGCGAUGUAACAAUUCUAACUAAAUUAGGAUCAAUUGAAAAUUGUUGGCCUAUGUUAAGUAUUUUCUUUACUGAAUCAAGGAGAACUAAUGAAAAUGAAAGGAAAUGAAGAGUUUUCCAAAGAAAGAUUUGAUAUAGCUAUUAUCUAUUACACCAGAGCCAUCGAAUAUAGACCUGAAAACUACCUUCUUUAUGGUAACCGAGCUCUUUGUUUUCUUCGUACUGGACAGUUUAGAAAUGCACUCGGUGAUGGAAAGAGAGCCACUAUUCUGAAGAACACUUGGCCAAAGGGUCAUUAUCGUUACUGUGAUGCUCUUUCUAUGCUGGGGGAAUAUGACUGGGCCCUGCAAGCAAACAUAAAAGCUCAAAAACUCUGUAAAAAUGACCCUGAGGGAAUCAAGGAUCUAAUUCAGCAGCAUGUAAAGUUACAAAAACAAAUAGAAGACCUACAAGGUCGAACAGCAAAUAAGGAUCCAAUUAAAGCCUUUUAUGAAAACAGGGCCUAUACACCUAGGAGUUUAUCAGCACCUAUAUUUACUACUUCACUUAACUUUGUGGAGAAGGAAAGAGAUUUCAGAAAAAUUAAUCACGAAAUGGCCAACGGUGGUAAUCAGAAUCUAAAGGUGGCGGAUGAGGCGUUGAAGGUAGAUGAUUGUGACUGUCAUCCUGAAUUUUCACCACCAUCAAGUCAGCCUCCAAAACAUAAAGGAAAACAAAAAUCUCGAAACAAUGAAUCAGAGAAGUUCAGUUCUAGUUCACCAUUGACUUUACCAGCAGAUUUGAAGAACAUCUUGGAGAAACAGUUUUCUAAAUCUUCCAGAGCUGCACACCAGGAUUUUGCUAAUAUAAUGAAAAUGCUGAGAAGCUUAAUUCAAGAUGGCUAUAUGGCCUUAUUGGAGCAGCGUUGCCGCAGCGCUGCACAGGCCUUUACAGAGUUGCUGAACGGUUUAGAUCCUCAAAAAAUAAAGCAAUUGAACCUGGCCAUGAUUAACUAUGUUUUGGUUGUCUAUGGACUUGCCAUUUCUCUCCUUGGAAUAGGACAGCCUGAGGAAUUAUCUGAAGCCGAAAACCAGUUUAAGAGGAUUAUUGAACACUACCCCAAUGAGGGACUUGAUUGCUUGGCCUACUGUGGAAUUGGAAAAGUAUAUUUGAAAAAAAACAGAUUUCUAGAAGCUCUUAAUCACUUUGAGAAAGCAAGAACCUUGAUUUAUCGUCUUCCUGGAGUGUUAACUUGGCCCACAAGUAAUGUGAUUAUUGAAGAGUCUCAGCCACAAAAAAUAAAGAUGCUGUUAGAGAAAUUUGUUGAAGAAUGCAAGUUCCCUCCAGUGCCAGACGCCAUUUGUUGCUAUCAGAAGUGCCAUGGAUAUUCUAAGAUCCAGAUAUACAUAACUGAUCCAGACUUUAAGGGUUUUAUACGCAUCAGCUGUUGCCAGUACUGUAAAAUAGAAUUUCACAUGAAUUGCUGGAAGAAGUUAAAAACUACAACCUUUAAUGAUAAAAUUGACAAGGAUUUUCUACAAGGAAUAUGUCUUACCCCUGACUGUGAAGGUGUCAUUUCUAAGAUUAUCAUCUUCAGCAGUGGUGGUGAAGUUAAAUGUGAAUUUGAACACAAGGUCAUAAAAGAAAAGGUUCCUCCAAGACCUAUUCUGAAACAGAAAUGUUCUAGCCUAGAGAAACUAAGACUGAAAGAAGAUAAAAAAUUGAAGAGAAAGAUCCAAAAAAAAGAAGCAAAAAAAUUAGCACAAGAAAGAAUGGAGGAGGACUUAAGAGAAAGUAAUCCACCCAAAAAAGAAGAGCAGAAAGAAACUGUAGACAAUGUUCAGCAUUGUCAGUUCCUUGAUGACAGAAUUCUACAGUGUAUAAAGCAGUAUGCUGACAAGAUUAAAUCCGGCAUACAGAAUACAGCCACACUUCUCAAAGAAUUGCUUUCUUGGAAAGUUUUGAGCACAGAAGACUAUACAACCUGUUUUUCUAGCAGAAAUUUUCUAAAUGAAGCAGUGGACUAUGUUAUUCAUCACUUGAUUCAAGAAAAGAACAGAGUAAAGACAAGAAUAUUUCUGCAUGUUUUGAGUGAGCUUAAAGAAGUGGAGCCCAAAUUAGCUGCCUGGAUCCAAAAACUUAAUAGCUUUGGCUUAGAUGCCACAGGAACUUUCUUUUCUCGUUAUGGAGCAUCUCUUAAACAGCUUGAUUUUAGUAUCAUGACUUUCCUCUGGAAUGAGAAAUAUGGUCACAAACUAGACUCUAUAGAAGGAAAGCAACUUGAUUAUUUCUCUGAGCUAGCAUCACUGAAGGAAGCCCGUUGUUUAAUAUGGCUGCUAGAAGAACACAGAGACAAGUUCCCAGCAUUGCAUAGUGCUUUAGACGAAUUCUUUGAUAUAAUGGAUAGCCGCUGUACUGUGUUAAGGAAACAAGAUAGUGGUGAAGCACCGUUUAGUUCAACCAAGGUGAAAAACAAAGGCAAGAAAAAGAAGCCAAAGGAUUCAAAGCCUAUGUUAGUUGGGUCUGGAACAACUUCAGUAACUCCUAAUAAUGAGAUCAUCACUUCAAGUGAAGACCAUAGCAAUCGAAAUUCAGAUUCUGCAGGCCCAUUUGCAGUGCCUGACCAUCUUCGGCAAGACGUAGAAGAAUUCGAAGCUCUCUAUGACCAACACAGUAAUGAAUAUGUUGUCCGCAAUAAGAAGCUAUGGGACAUGAACCCAAAACAAAAAUGUUCAACUCUAUAUGAUUACUUCUCUCAGUUUUUGGAGGAACAUGGUCCCUUGGACAUGAGUAACAAGAUGUUCUCUGCAGAAUAUGAGUUUUUCCCAGAAGAAACUCGACAGAUACUAGAAAAAGCAGGAGGUUUAAAACCUUUUCUCUUGGGAUGCCCUCGUUUUGUUGUUAUUGACAACUGUAUUGCAUUGAAGAAAGUUGCAUCACGGCUCAAGAAAAAAAGGAAGAAGAAAAACAUUAAAACAAAAGUAGAAGAAAUUUCAAAAGCAGGAGAGUAUGUACGAGUUAAAUUACCACUGAAUCCAGCUGCUAGGGAAUUUAAACCAGAUGUAAAGUCUAAACCAGUGUCAGAUUCAUCUUCAGCACCAGCUUCUGAAGAUGUGAAACCCACACCUGUAUCUGCAAAUUCUCCCAAGCCAGCUUGUGAAGAUGUGAAGGCCAAAUCAGUAUCCGACAAUUCUUGUAGACAAGUUUCUGAGGAUGGGCAACCCAAAGGGGUCUCUUCUAAUUCUCCCAAACCAGGCUCUGAGGAUGCAAAUUACAAGCGAGUCUCCUGUAAUUCCCCCAAACCGGUUCCUGAGGAUGUGAAACCAACUUAUUGGGCUCAAUCCCAUUUGGUCACAGGAUACUGUACGUAUCUUCCUUUCCAGAGAUUUGAUAUCACCCAGACACCGCCAGCAUACAUAAACAUGUUACCAGGUUUGCCCCAGUACACCAGCAUAUAUACACCCUUGGCCAGCCUUUCUCCUGAAUAUCAGCUACCAAGAUCAAUACCAGUGGUGCCAUCUUUUGUAACCAAUGACAGAGCAGAUAAAAAUGCUGCUGCCUAUUUUGAGGGUCAUCAUUUGAAUGCUGAGAAUGCUGCUGGUCACCAGAUUGCCUCCGAAACACAGAUCCUUGAGGACUCUUUGGGAAUAUCUGUAAAGUCACACUGCAGCACAGGUGAUGCUCAUACAGUCCUGAGUGAGUCUAACAGAAAUGAUGAGCACUGUGGAAAUUCUAACAACAAAUGUGAAGUAAUUCCAGAAAGCACCAGUGCAGUAACAAACAUUCCACAUGUGCAGAUGGUUGCCAUUCAGGUAUCUUGGAACAUAAUACACCAAGAAGUCAAUACUGAGCCAUAUAAUCCUUUUGAGGAACAACAAGGGGAAAUUUCACGGAUUGAAAAGGAGCACCAAGUAUUACAAGACCAACUUCAAGAAGCGUAUGAAAAUUAUGAGCAGAUAAAACUUAAAGGCUUAGAAGAGACCAGGGACCUGGAAGAGAAGUUGAGAAGGCACUUAGAAGAAAACAAGAUCUCAAAGACGGAAUUAGAUUGGUUCCUUCAAGAUUUGGAAAGAGAAAUUAAAAAAUGGCAACAGGAAAAAAAAGAAAUCCAAGAAAGACUAAAAUCACUGAAGAAGAAAAUUAAAAAGGUUUCAAAUGCCAUUGAAACAUAUACCCAGAAAAAUGAUGGAAAGGAAAAGGAACAUGAAUUACAUCUGGAUCAGUCCCUUGAAAUCAGCAGCACACUUACAAAUGAGAAAAUGAAAAUAGAAGAGUGUAUAAAGAAAGGGAAAGAGGAUUAUGAAGAGAGUCAUCAGAGAGCUGUGGCUGCAGAGGUAUCUGUACUUGAAAACUGGAAGGAGAGUGAAGUGUAUAAGCUACAGAUCAUGGAGUCACAAGCAGAAGCCUAUCUGAAGAAGCUGGAGCUGAUUAGCCGUGAUCCUGCAGCAUAUCCUGACAUGGAGUCUGAUAUAUGUUCAUGGGAAUUGUUUCUUUCUAAUGUUACAAAAGAAAUUGAGAAAGCAAGGUCUCAGUUUGAAGAACAAAUUAAGGCAAUUAAAAAUGGUUCUCGGCUCAGUGAACUUUCUAAAGUGCAGAUUUCUGAGCUUUCAUUUCCUGCCUGUAACACGGUUCAUCCCGAGUUACUCCCUGAGUCUUCAGGCCACGAUGACCAAGGGCUUGUGACUUCUGCAAGCGACGUGACUGGAAACCACGCAGCACUUCACAGGGAUCCCAGUGUGUUCUCUGCUGGUGAUUCCCCAGGGGAGACUCCUUCUGCACUGUUGCCAGGGCCACCCCCUGGUCAGCCUGAAGCCACUCAGCUGCCAGGGCUAAAACGGGCUGGCCAGGCAGCUCUGUCAGAACAAAGCCCUGUGGCUGAUCGGAAGCAGCCUGUUCCUCCAGGACGUGCUGCGCGUUCAAGCCAGUCUCCAAAAAAGCCGUUCAAUAGUAUUAUUGAGCACCUGUCAGUGGUAUUCCCAUGUUACAACAGCACCGAGCUUGCUGGUUUUAUUAAAAAAGUGCGAAGCAAAAACAAGAACUCACUCUCAGGAUUGAGUAUUGAUGAAAUUGUCCAAAGAGUGACAGAACACAUUCUAGAUGAACAGAAAAAGAAAAAGCCAAACCCAGGAAAGGACAAGAGGACUUAUGAGCCCAGUUCUGCCGCCCCCGUGACCAGGUCCUCCCAGGGCCCACCCUCGGCGGUUGUUGCACCAUCACCCAAAACCAAGGGGCAGAAAGCAGAUGUCCCUGUGAGGGCUGCACUGGGUGCAAGUUCCUGUGAAAUAUGCCACGAGGUGUUCAAAUCAAAAAACGUGCGUGUGCUCAGAUGUGGGCACAAGUAUCACAAAGGGUGCUUUAAGCAGUGGCUUAAAGGGCAGAGCGCUUGCCCGGCCUGCCAGGGUCGUGAUCUCCUGUCAGAAGAGUCACCUUCUGGAAGAGGCUGGCCCAGUGAGAAUCGGGAGCCGCCUUCCUGCUCCUCUAGGUAGUCACGCUUCACUGAAGUGUCAUCCACCGGUGUGUUGAAUCCGAAGAAUGACAAUUUUCUGCCACUGGUGUAAAAAACACACAUUUGAAGACCCUUGUGCAUUGUGUGUCACAAAGCUAAUACAUGGAAAUCGUUAAUAUCGUUGAUAUUAAGUAAUUUCCCCACUCUGAGUGAAUACUUUGAUGAUGGCCAACAGUGGCUAAUAAAAUGUCGGCUACCACACUCAUGGGUCGCUGGGUCUGCGCAGGGCUCUUUGAGGUGGGUGGCUUCUUUUAGAAAGUACUAUGAGCGUCUCGAAGCAGUAUUCUAGCGAUAAGAAUUCUUAACAUAGCCAAGCGCCCCACGUUUGUUCCCCUUUUGUGUUUGAAAAACCUGUUGUGGUAGCUCCUCAAGAGAGAUGAUACUGACUUUUUAAAUUUUUUACAAGAGUCUGUAUUCCUGAUAUGCCUAUAUUUUUCCUCAAAGAUUCUGCAUUUUAAGGAUGGGCAUAAGCAAACUAUAUUUUAAUAAUUUAUAGUUAAUGUAAAAAUAUUGACUGAUUUAGACCAAAAGAUUCAAAUCUCCUCUUUGUGAAAUCCCAUCUGCAUUUGAUUUUUUAUUAUUUUAUGUUCCCCCAAUAGAUUGUUUUAAGUGUUUGCUUUUCAUCUUUUAUAGAUGUAAUCUGAUUUUCAAAAAUCAUUAACACUUUUUAAUUAGUAUUGACUAAGACUUUUUCCCCCUUGGAAUCGAGGCUGUGUGUCCAUCAUCCCAGCCCCCGGUUGGAGCCUGCUCUUUGAACUCCGCUGCCCUCCUCAGCAGCUUCUGUCCUCUUCUGUGAGUCAGUCAGCAAGUGCUUGGGAUCCGCAUCCAGCUGUGCUGAGCACACAACAGGCUGUGUGUGGAAAUGGCCACCACCAUUCUCCUUCCCUACCCCACCACAAAAAGAGAAGCUGUGUCUUUAGACAACCCUGAGGUAUCUGUGUUACAGUCGUUCUGUGUUUGAUAUUUGUGUAAAGUAUGCAUGCAGUCUUGUACUGUGGCCUAAGAACAAAACUGUAACUGCAUUAGAAACCAUGACAAAAUUAGAUAUUGUUUUGUGACUUUUAGACAGUGGUAAAUAUAGAACCAUGAAUUCUGGUCACAUUCCAUUUCUCUCCAACAUGAAGGAUCAAAAAAUGUUUUUCAAUGUGUUCUUUGUUCCACUGGAAACUUAGAGUCAUGAGUUUAUGAGCUGAUUUGGUCACCUUCCUCUGCCUUUGUUCACCGUGAGUUCUGAUGUCUUAGUGACUUAGUUCUUAGAAGCUCAUGCCUUAGUUUGAAACAGAUUCUCCACGGUGGUCCCCAAAACAUUGUCUGCAUAUCCUUAAGAAUUGAGUGCUAUGGGUGUUAACAUGCAUAAGGAUCAGUUUGCAGCAGCAAGUACAAAAGGAGAAGAGGAACAUCCAUCGAAUGAGUGUGUUUUGUACAUAACUUCAGAUACUUGUGAACAUGCCUUAUAUUUGUCCAACAACUGUCAGAGUAAAGAACAUUCUAAAACGAGAAGUUCA
rnacentral:sRNA from 1 species